rnacentral:rRNA from 1 species
ACUCCUACGGGAGGCAGCAGUGGGGAAUAUUGCACAAUGGGCGCAAGCCUGAUGCAGCCAUGCCGCGUGUAUGAAGAAGGCCUUCGGGUUGUUAAAGUACUUUAGCAGUGAGGAGGUGGAGUCGUUAAUAGCGGCCUCAUUUGACGUUAGCUGCAGAAGAAGCACCGGCUAACUCCGUGCCAGCAGCCGCGGUAAUACGGGAGGGUGCGAGCGUUAAUCGGAAUUACUGGGCGUAAAGC